CAAUAUGAUGGUUAUUGCUAGGGAGAAAUUGGACCUGUUUAUAAAUAAAAUAAAGGACGUUCCCUGUAUAAUUACAGAUAGAAUGUGCCCUGCACGUGCUGUUCGGAUUCGUACAAUAUUACAAGAACGUGUUUUUUUAGUAUUAGGUACAUCAUUUUUUAAAUUCUGUUGCUCUCUGCUUAUUGACUAUAUUUCAUUUAACAAGUAGUGUGAAAAUAACGUGCAUCUGCGCAUGCGUCAGGCUGAGAGAUGAGAGGCGCGUGACGUUAGCCGCCUGACAUUAACACAAUACAUUAAUAAAUACCAAGGAGUGCGAGUAAGAGCGACAGGCUCACAGAGUCCUGAAGGAGAAGUACGAUGAGAUGAAGGAGGAGUUAAAGCAGAAUGAGGAGUUACUGAAGUGCCUGAUGAAGGACAAAUCAGACAGAAUUCACCAGGAGAAAAGUAUUUAUUGGAGGAUCAGCGCCGGCACUGAGAGAUAAAACACACACUGCAAUACAAAACUAUAAUUUAACAACAUGUACAAAAUGCAAAUAUAAAACUGUACAUAAUUUUACAAUUUAACAAUAUUUAAAAUUUUCCCUACACACUGAAACACACACACACACACACACACACACACACACACAGUCACAUACAUUAGAGUGAUAGGAAACUGUUAAGUAAAGGAGGACCAUGUGUGUGACUGAUACAGUCAUGAUGGGUGCGUGUGUGUGUGUGCGUGUGUGUGUGUGCGUGUGUGUGUGUGUGUGCGUGUGUGUGCGUGUGUGUGUGUGUGUGUAAAUUGUGCGUGUGUGUGUACGAGUGAUAUGGACACAUUCAGGAUGGGGUUUUCUUGUGGGUUCUCGUGUUCACUGGAAGCUCCACACCUCGAGCGCCCGCACGCUGAAGUCCUGAUGUGGACACAGAGGAGCGUUACGGAACGUGUUACAGGGAAACGUUGAGCCACGGAGAAGAUCCGAGUCUAACCACAACCCGAACGGCCCUCUGGAGACACACACACACACACACACAGAUCAGGUUCUGCUGUAUCGAACCCUAACUGUAACACUGAUGUCCGUUAUAUUAAAAAACCUAAUAAAGUUACAGUAAUAAUCUGAUUAUCUGAUGUUAGCAGUUAAGAUUAAAGUGAGUACUGGAUUUUCUGAAAUCUGAUAAACAUCUGGAUUUCAGCUCAAUAAUCAGAUUAUUCAGUGAGUUUAAAGUGAUAAGUCUGAGUGUGUGUGAUGUUUAUUUGUGUGUGUUGGUGAAGUGAUGUGGUGUUUAUCAGCGACACUCAGGAGAUCAAACUGUUACGUUCAGCAGAACCCUAAAUCACAUGUUCCGGAGUGAUCAUAAACCAAAUCUGAUUACUGAUGAUUGACGAUUGGUUACUGGAUUCAAACCCAGAUUACUGACGCGCAGGUGAAGGUGUGGAUGAAGCGACUCACCCUCCUGCUCCCAGCUGCAGAGAGUCGAGGAACCCUCUCACAAAGUAUGAGUUCUCUCCACUCCACCGGAACAUCUACACACACACACACACACACACACACACA